rnacentral:misc_RNA from 1 species
CCGAGUCGUCUCGGGCCUCUGGCCCAGGCACUCCCCAUACUCUGCUAGAGACCCCCGUUUAAGGUCCUGCUUCGGCCGGCGGCCACCAGCCUAUGGCCGGAGGGACCCUCCGUGCUCCUGCCGCUCUGGCGGCGGGGGCCGGCUCUAAAUCUAAUACCGUAUGAAAAAGCGUUUGCGGCAGAAGGCCGAACCAAACA